AGACUUGACUACCUAUUGACUUACAAGUUGGAAUAUCUGCUGAUGGAGCACUUCUAUGAGUUUCCAUUACAAUCUAAGAAAGAAAAGACCUAUAACUCAGCCAUUGAGACUUUCAUGAUUUCAGAAAAGGAAUAAAACAGUCUAUGACAGAAAAGUAAGAGAAAAAGAACUUGUUUUCCUUAAAAAUUUGAGACUGUCAGGGUAAUAUCAAUUUGCCAGUAAGUGGAGGAAUAUCCCCUAUACAAUAUGGGAGAAGAUGAGCAAGUUGCCUAUUACUUUUUCACUUAGCACGAGGUGGUUUCUCUGCAGAGUCCUAAUUGGUCUAAGUCUGUAGAGACAAACCAUCUCAUAUUUAGUAGAAGAUUUUUCCCCUCCAGAAUUACCUUUGCAGAGACUGGAACCCAAAGCCCAGCCUGUUUGCAGAAGAUGCUCCUCCCAGACUAUUACAGAUUUGGAAACAAGUAAGAAUAUCCUUGAAUGACCUCUGGCUAGUUUGAAAGAGGAAGAUUUGAAUGAUGAAAACUCUGAAUGCCAUCUACAGUCUGCAGCCUCCUAAGGGAAGUUAUUUACGAGGAAACUCUUCAUACAGGCUUUUCCAGACCGGGGUACAUGAGCAGCCAAGACAUGGAUAAAAAGAUGAAAAACAGAAAAACAAGUACUGUACAUUUAUACGAUACCUGAACAAGAAGUUGUGCUCAGAAAUACCAUCAUGAAAAAAUUGAAAGAAGCACCAUAAAAGGAAAAUAGAGAUCUUCUUUAAUGCAAAGAAAAUGUAAAGAAAAUUGGAAAAACUCUUUUAAUAUAAUAUUCUGUUAAAUAUGGAAUGGACACUCCCUGAUUCCUGACUUGCAAGUGAACUGCAAGAAUCCUUUGCAUUCUUUAGGGAUGAUUCUAAGAUCAAUGAAAAUGGAAAGCAGCACUUUCCAAGAUUGUGGAUUAACUCUUAAAAUAGAGUUAGAGAUCCAAGAAUUUACUCCAAAUCAAGGACGGUAUAUUUAUAUAAUUUCAUCCAUCCAUUUUCUAGCCCCCUUUGCUAUAAAAAUAUUGGUUGUGGUCCUUGACCAACAAAGCUUUACUUUCCCAAUACAUACUAGUCUCAACCAUCUUAAAUGUUAUGAUUGUGGCCUACCAUCAGUCUGAGAAAUUAUGGCUCCGGUGACUUCAAGAUGCAUUUGGUAGGAAUUAAUUGCAGUCUUAUUCUCAAUUUACAUCUGACAACCUGAGCAUGUGUGAAGUAAACAAUCAAAAACAAUAAAAAGGAAUUCUCUCUUGUG